rnacentral:rRNA from 1 species
UCAGGUAGGGAUACCCGCUGAACUUAAGCAUAUCAAUAAC